UACGGAGGGAGCUAGCGUUGUUCGGAAUUACUGGGCGUAAAGCGCACGUAGGCGGCUUUGUAAGUUAGGGGUGAAAGCCUGGAGCUCAACUUCAGAAUUGCCCUUAAGACUGCAUCGCUUGAAUCCAGGAGAGGUGAGUGGAAUUCCGAGUGUAGAGGUGAAAUUCGUAGAUAUUCGCAAGAACACCAGUGGCGAAGGCGGCUCACUGGCCCGAUACUGACGCUGAGGUGCGAAAGCGUGGGGAGCAAACAGGG
rnacentral:rRNA from 1 species